UUACCGGCCCUAUAGUCGAUCGGAACGACCCGUGCAACCCUAGGAAAAGUUUCAGAUUAAUGGGUGCAGAUGCCCGUAUGGCCCACACACCCAAUUUGGCCUUGGCAGUGUGGUCCACACGGCAUGGCCCAAAAACCCACGUGCCCAUGCGGAAUGCCCUAUAGGCCCACACGCCCAACUUGGCCUACCAGUAUGGCCCACACGACCACACUCAAGCCACUACAUGGCCGUGUCUUACGCACGGCCAUACCUAUGUCAAUCACACGGUCGUGUCUCACACAUUGCUGGCCGCACGCCCAUGUGGCAUCGACAGUGGUUAUUUUUGGAUUUUGCCAAAACUCAUUUUUCUGCGUUUCGAGAGCACACCUGAUAUCGUUUUGAUGCAUAACCUACCCCGAGUCUUCUAAGACCUAAAAACAGAGUACCCAACACCGAUUUAGCAGAUCGGUUAACAAGUUCGAC
rnacentral:lncRNA from 1 species